CGUCAUCCUCGUCCACAUUUCUCGCUUUACGCAACUUUCGACGAACGAACAAAAGCAGAAAAAAACCUAAAAUUUGUCUAGAAAUAUGAACCCUGCAGACGGAUCUUUCUUGGAUCCAAACGGUACUAUGACCGUACCUGCAAUUGGACCCUUGACUUCUUCGGAGGAUCUGAGCAAGAAGAUAAGGAAGCCUUAUACCAUUACCAUUUUUACUGAAUCAGGGUUUCUUAAUUACCGUGUUGGUUUCGAAUUCAAACAGAUUUGCGACUGGGCUUUGCUGAGGCGGUGGAAUUGAGGGUUAGAAAGUAAUUGAAGUUGUAACUAGUAAGGUUGGUAUCUAUAGUGGGAAGGAUCUUUGGUUUGACAGAGACUGGAAAAAGAUUGAAGCUUUCAUUGGCUCGAAGACUGUGAUUCAGAUAAGAAGUCAUGCUCAGAAGUAUUUUCUUAAGGUACAAAAGAGUGGGACUGCUGAACAUCUCCCUCCCCCUCGACCUAAAAGGAAAGCCGCUCAUCCGUAUCCUCAGAAGGCUCAAAUGAACGUUCUACCUCAAGUACCAGGAUCCUUCAAAUCAACAGCUGAACCAAAUGACCCAAGUUAUAUGUUUAGGCCCGAGUCUUCUUCGAUGCUGAUGACUUCUCCACCACCCACUGCUGCUCCCUGGACUAAUAAUGUGCAAACAAUUAGCUUCACACCCCUGCCAAAAGAAACAGCAGGAGCUAAUAACAACUGUUCUAGUAGCUCUGAAAAUACUCCAAGACCACGAUCCAGCAAGGACACAAUGCAAGCAAAUCCUGGCCAUUCAUUAAGAGUUUUACCGGACUUUGGCCAAGUAUACAGCUUCAUUGGAAGUGUUUUUGACCCAUAUGCAAGUAAUCAUCUACAGAAGCUGAAGAAGAUGGACCCCAUAGAGGUUGAAACAGUGCUACUGUUGAUGAGAAAUCUAUCAAUCAACUUGUCUAGCCCUGAUUUUGAGGUUCAUAGACGGCUUCUUUCGUCGUAUGAUAUCGGCUUUGAGACAGCAACUGAUCAUGGUGGAGUGUUUAAAACCUUAAACAAAGAACCACCAGAAAUCUCUACUUGAAGUUCAUUAAAAAGGGGGGGGAAGGUUAUGAUGAAAUGUCUCAGGUGAGCUAAACCCAUAUUGGUUAACAGAAUACAGAGUGAUUCUGUUGUGGGUUUUGUUUGUAAAUAUGAAGAAGAUGAAGCUGGCGUUGAGCAGUUAUAUAUACGUCUUUUGGAUUAUAUGCAUAGUGUAGUAUCUUUUAAUAAGUUAAAAAAAAAAGUACUGUUCGUCUUCUGUCUACGUGUUUUGGAGCUUUUGUUAAAGCAUGUGACAGUUCUGUGAUGGAGACCAGAACUGUUGACGUGUUCCCUUGCAUUAUAUUUUAGUGUAAUAUGAGACCGAAGAAA